rnacentral:piRNA from 1 species
UGGUGUCGCCCAACUGGCUUGGAACCCAGG